rnacentral:rRNA from 1 species
CACGUAGGGCGCGAGCGUUGUCCGGAAUUAUUGGGCGUAAAGAGCUCGUAGGCGGUUUGUCGCGUCGACUGUGAAAGCCCGGGGCUCAACUCUGGGCGUGCGGUCGAUACGGGCAUCACUUGAGUUCGGCAGGGGAGACUGGAAUUCCUGGUGUAGCGGUGAAAUGCGCAGAUAUCAGGAGGAACACCGAUGGCGAAGGCAGGUCUCUGGGCCACUACUGACGCUGAGAAGCGAAAGCAUGGGGAGCGAACAGG